rnacentral:piRNA from 1 species
ACAUAAAUAAUAGACCUGCUUGUUCCGU